rnacentral:rRNA from 1 species
AUACGUAGGGUGCGAGCGUUAAUCGGAAUUACUGGGCGUAAAGCGUGCGCAGGCAGUUUUGUAAGACAGGCGUGAAAUCCCCGGGCUCAACCUGGGAAUGGCGCUUGUGACUGCAAGGCUAGAGUGCGUCAGAGGGGGGUAGAAUUCCACGUGUAGCAGUGAAAUGCGUAGAGAUGUGGAGGAAUACCGAUGGCGAAGGCAGCCCCCUGGGACGAGACUGACGCUCAUGCACGAAAGCGUGGGGAGCAAACAGGAUUAGAAACCCUAGUAGUCC